UACGAAGGGGGCUAGCGUUGCUCGGAAUUACUGGGCGUAAAGGGCGCGUAGGCGGGUCGUUAAGUUGGGGGUGAAAGCCCAGGGCUCAACCCUGGAAUUGCCUUCAAUACUGGCGACCUUGAGUAUGGCAGAGGUGUGUGGAACUCCGAGUGUAGAGGUGAAAUUCGUAGAUAUUCGGAAGAACACCAGUGGCGAAGGCGGCUCACUGGCCCGGUACUGACGCUGAGGCACGAAAGCGUGGGGAGCAAACAGG
rnacentral:rRNA from 1 species